CGAAUGGGGAGANUCAUCGUCAGCUCAUUUUAUAUAUAUGCAAGUUAUGAUAUAGGUUACUUUCUCUUUAAUCGGAGUAUAGUAUUGCCUGUACAUUCUUGUAUAUUUAAUUGUAAGAUGUUGUCGGCGUGCACUUCUCCCCUAGUAGGACGUCGCGACCCGUUGAGUUUUUUUUAUUGUCGGUCUACGGCCCAAAUGGAAGCUUUCAGUGAUUAUUUUCAACGAUAAUUCAUUGAAAACCUUUGGUGUUACCUGACUGGCACUCAUCGGUAUUCGUAUGGUAUUGAGCCGCAUAUUAUAUGCGUCCGUAUCUGUCGCAAGCGAGGUUAGUGUUUAUAUUACUAAUAGUACGGACUUAGUGCCGUCGUUGGUACUAAUCAGCUGUUGGUUGUACAGAAUUCUAGGACUGGCUCUUAAAUGAAAAUACCGGUCAGCGAUGCUACUGCUUUGGGUACUUUCAGGACCCGUCUUGAAACACGGACCAAGGAGUCUAACAUGUACGCGAGUCAUUGGGAUUAUUUAUAAAUUAAACCUAAAGGCGUAAUGAAAGUAAAGGUCGUCCUUGUGUCGACUAAGGGAGGAUGGGCUGUAUUUUUUUUUAUUAAGAGACAGCUCCGCACUCUCGGGGCGUCUUAUUC
rnacentral:rRNA from 1 species